rnacentral:rRNA from 1 species
ACGGGUCGUGAGAGCAAUAACCCGGAGAUGAUAUCUGAGACACGAUAUCAGGCCCUACGGGGCGCAGCAGGCGCGAAAACUUCACACUGUGCGAAAGCACGAUGAGGGAAUCCCAAGUGCUUGCACGUAAGUGUAAGCUGUUUCUUUGUUUAAAACGCAUUGAGAGUAAGAGCUGGGUAAGACGGGUGCCAGCCGCCGCGGUAAUACCUGCAGCUCAAGUGGUGGCCGCUAUUAUUGGGCCUAAAACGUCCGUAGCCGGUCUAAUAAAUGCCUGGGUAAAUCGUGUAGCUUAACUAUACGAAUUCCGGGUAGACUGUUAAGCUUGAGACCGGGAGAAGUUAGAGGUACUCCUGGGGUAGAGGUGAAAUUCUGUAAUCCUAGGGGGACCACCAGUGGCGAAGGCGUCUGACUAGAACGGGUCUGACGGUGAGGGACGAAGCCCUGGGGCGCAAACCGGAUUAGAUACCCGGGUAGUCCAGGGUGUAAACGCUGCUUGCUUGAUGUUGGUUGGGCUCCGAGCCCAAUCAGUGUC